CCUACGGGCGACAGCAGUGAGGAAUAUUGGUCAAUGGCCGCGAGCCUGCACCAGCCAAGUCGCGUGAGGGAUGAAGGUUCUAUGGAUCGUAAACCUCUUUUAUCGGGGAAUAAAGUGUGGGACGUGUCCUAUUUUGUAUGUACCUUAUGAAUCAGGAUCGGCUAACUCCGUGCCAGCAGCCGCGGUAAUACGGGGGAUCCGAGCGUUAUCCGGAUUUAUUGGGUUUAAAGGGUGCGUAGGCGGCAGUUUAAGUCAGCGGUGAAAGUCUGUGGCUGAACCAUAGAAUUGCCGUUGAAACUGGGGGGCUUGAGUAUGUUUGAGGCAGGCGGAAUGCGUGGUGUAGCGGUGAAAUGCUUAGAUAUCACGCAGAACCCCGAUUGCGAAGGCAGCCUGCCAAACCAUGACUGACGCUGAUGCACGAAAGCGUGGGGAUCAAACAGGAUUAGAUACCCGGGUAGUC
rnacentral:rRNA from 1 species